rnacentral:rRNA from 1 species
UGACUGCGUACCUUUUGUAUAAUGGGUCAGCGACUUAUAUUCUGUAGCAAGGUUAACCGAAUAGGGGAGCCGGAGGGAAACCGAGUCUUAACCGGGCGUUAAGUUGCAGGGUAUAGACCCGAAACCCGGUGAUCUAGCCAUGGGCAGGUUGAAGGUUGGGUAACACUAACUGGAGGACCGAACCGACUAAUGUUGAAAAAUUAGCGGAUGACCUGUGGCUGGGGGUGAAAGGCCAAUCAAACCGGGAGAUAGCUGGUUCUCCCCGAAAGCUAUUUAGGUAGCGCCUCGUGAAUUCAUCUCCGGGGGUAGAGCACUGUUUCGGCUAGGGGGCCAUCCCGGCUUACCAACCCGAUGCAAACUGCGAAUACCGGAGAAUGUUAUCACGGGAGACACACGGCGGGUGCUAACGUCCGUCGUGAAGAGGGAAACAACCCAGACCGCCAGCUAAGGUCCCAAAGUCAUGGUUAAGUGGGAAACGAUGUGGGAAGGCCCAGACAGCCAGGAUGUUGGCUUAGAAGCAGCCAUCAUUUAAAGAAAGCGUAAUAGCUCACUGGUCGAGUCGGCCUGCGCGGAAGAUGUAACGGGGCUAAACCAUGCACCGAAGCUGCGGCAGCGACACUAUGUGUUGUUGGGUAGGGGAGCGUUCUGUAAGCCUGUGAAGGUGGCCUGUGAGGGUUGCUGGAGGUAUCAGAAGUGCGAAUGCUGACAUAAGUAACGAUAAAGCGGGUGAAAAGCCCGCUCGCCGGAAGACCAAGGGUUCCUGUCCAACGUUAAUCGGGGCAGGGUGAGUCGACCCCUAAGGCGAGGCCGAAAGGCGUAGUCGAUGGGAAACGGGUUAAUAUUCCCGUACUUGGUGUUACUGCGAAGGGGGGACGGAGAAGGCUAUGUUGGCCGGGCGACGGUUGUCCCGGUUUAAGCGUGUAGGUGUGUGUUCCAGGUAAAUCCGGUUCACUUUAACACUGAGGCGUGAUGACGAGGCACUACGGUGCUGAAGCAACAAAUGCCCUGCUUCCAGGAAAAGCCUCUAAGCAUCAGGUAACAUCAAAUCGUACCCCAAACCGACACAGGUGGUCAGGUAGAGAAUACCAAGGCGCUUGAGAGAACUCGGGUGAAGGAACUAGGCAAAAUGGUGCCGUAACUUCGGGAGAAGGCACGCUGACAUGUAGGUGAAGUGAUUUACUCAUGGAGCUGAAGUCAGUCGAAGAUACCAGCUGGCUGCAACUGUUUAUUAAAAACACAGCACUGUGCAAACACGAAAGUGGACGUAUACGGUGUGACGCCUGCCCGGUGCCGGAAGGUUAAUUGAUGGGGUCAGCGCAAGCGAAGCUCCUGAUCGAAGCCCCGGUAAACGGCGGCCGUAACUAUAACGGUCCUAAGGUAGCGAAAUUCCUUGUCGGGUAAGUUCCGACCUGCACGAAUGGCGUAAUGAUGGCCAGGCUGUCUCCACCCGAGACUCAGUGAAAUUGAACUCGCUGUGAAGAUGCAGUGUACCCGCGGCAAGACGGAAAGACCCCGUGAACCUUUACUAUAGCUUGACACUGAACAUUGAGCCUUGAUGUGUAGGAUAGGUGGGAGGCUUUGAAGUGUGGACGCCAGUCUGCAUGGAGCCGACCUUGAAAUACCACCCUUUAAUGUUUGAUGUUCUAACGUGGACCCGUAAUCCGGGUUGCGGACAGUGUCUGGUGGGUAGUUUGACUGGGGCGGUCUCCUCCUAAAGAGUAACGGAGGAGCACGAAGGUUGGCUAAUCCUGGUCGGACAUCAGGAGGUUAGUGCAAUGGCAUAAGCCAGCUUGACUGCGAGCGUGACGGCGCGAGCAGGUGCGAAAGCAGGUCAUAGUGAUCCGGUGGUUCUGAAUGGAAGGGCCAUCGCUCAACGGAUAAAAGGUACUCCGGGGAUAACAGGCUGAUACCGCCCAAGAGUUCAUAUCGACGGCGGUGUUUGGCACCUCGAUGUCGGCUCAUCACAUCCUGGGGCUGAAGUAGGUCCCAAGGGUAUGGCUGUUCGCCAUUUAAAGUGGUACGCGAGCUGGGUUUAGAACGUCGUGAGACAGUUCGGUCCCUAUCUGCCGUGGGCGCUGGAGAACUGAGGGGGGCUGCUCCUAGUACGAGAGGACCGGAGUGGACGCAUCACUGGUGUUCGGGUUGUCAUGCCAAUGGCACUGCCCGGUAGCUAAAUGCGGAAGAGAUAAGUGCUGAAAGCAUCUAAGCACGAAACUUGCCCCGAGAUGAGUUCU